AGUAAUCCAAUGCCAAGGAGGACAACCGUCAUACGAUCCAGCUACAACCGCUGAUCGGCCUCGUCCCAGCCGCCGCCAAAAGAGGCUCUUCUACAUAGCUGAGGUGAAGAUGCAACCGGCACAGUCACCCUGCCGGCGCGCCCCAUGCCGAGGAGUGGCGCGUCAGGUCGUACCCGCGCUAGGUCGAUGCCAACACCAUGCGCUUCGUCUGUAACAUCACGGUGCGGUCCACGACGACGCUCCCCGGUGGUGAUGAGGAGUGCGCGGUGUUGCAUGAGGUGUCGGCGCUGCUCUUCUCGGUACAGCGGGCAGGUGCAGUUCCUCGUCUCUGACAUGUAGAUGUGGUUGGAUUGGCAAGUUCCUCCCGGUCUUCAAGAGCCUCUCCAACUACGAGCUCAUGGACCUCGCCGUCGACAACCGCACACGCUGCUUCCGGCACCUCCAGGUGGGCCUCACCUGCCACGCCGAGUUCAGCAUCGACCCGCUCCGCGUGGCACCGUUCGCGAAGCUGGCCAACACGUGCAACGCGAAGCUGGCCAACACGUGCAACGCGAUGCUGGGCGUGCGUGGCGCCGGGCUAACCAACAUGGUGUUCCCGUGCACGAGAGGAUCCAAUGCCCCUCCGCACUACCCCACGUGAUCCGACGCAACGAGGACGACAUCCUAAGAUCCAGUCGUGGUUGUGCGGAAUCUCGGACGAAUCCAUCCGGCCUCAUCCUAGCCGCCGCCGGCAGAGGCAAUUUUUCAUAGACCAAGGAGUACUUGUUUACACCAAGAUUUUUCUUCUCGGCAAAGUUUGCUUCUUGCACUACCGAAGAAAGAUGAUGCAUGGUGUAGCAAUUGGAUGAUGUGCUCAUGAUUGUUCUUUCUUGGACAGAAUAAGGAAUUCAGUUGUAGGGUGCUCAAAGUAAUGAGCUUGCUGCUGCUUCAAGGCUGGAAGCCACAUUCAACUUCUACCAUACUACCAGUCUUGAUGUAACUAAGCUUUUCCACAUUGACCCUGAAGCCAAGCGCACCUUUGUAGUCUUGCUGAAGAAAGAGGAGGAGAAAUUGGACUUAUAAGGUAUUUUCAUCACUAACUUGCUUCACUUCGAGUAGCUGCAUUUUCCUUCCAUGUAUGUUAGAUGAUUUGGCCUAUGAAUUCGAUAUAAAUGUAUGAUGCAUUGUGCUGACGGCGAGUUCAGAGCAAAAAAGGAGGGGCGACAAAUGCAACAGCGAUUUGGCCUACCAUUUGCACAUAUGUCACAAUUUUUUAAAAGGAAUGCAGAAUCUUUAUCCAUAUAUAGAUCGGCUUUCAGUUAUAGGAAAAAGGAGGGGCGGCGACUGCAACAACGAUAGGACGGCAGCCAGUAUGCCUGAGCCAACACGCCACUGUUCUUUCUUUACUGGCACUGUAACAAUCAAAUUUCAUUAUGUCCGGAGUGCAUAAUCAAGUGUCUUAUUUUCUUUUCUGUGCCUUCUUUUUUAUGUAUGGGUAUGGGUUAGUGUUUUAGGUGACUGGUUACAAUGAAAAUCUUUAUGUGAAUGGUGAGGAGCAUGCAAAUUGGGACAACUUGCUUUCUGUGAGCAACCAUCUGAAUGCUGAAAGGUCAUACAUGGGUGUGAAUGGAUCGGAUACAUCACAUACAUCAGGUAAACAACAUGUACCUCUUUGAUUUCACAUGUGCGCACAUGCUAGACACUGUUGUGCCAUUUUAAAAUAUAUGUUUCUUCAUAACCUUGUUUUAGGUUGUGUGUUUUAGGUAAUUCUUAUUUGGGUAACAUGUAGGGGCAGCUGCUAGUAUCAUGUAUUUUAAUUUUGAGUCCUCCUAAAGGGGUUGUUUGAAGAAUUUAUUCUUACAAUAAAUUUGGCAUAAUAGUUGGAUUCUUUUGAUUUGACAAAAAAAAUAACUGAUCUUGCAAUGUAAUUGACUGAACUUGCCAUUUAUGGAUUUUUCCUAUAAGCUAAUAAGUUUGUUUAUGUAAAGAAACUGCAUUGGAGUAGAUUGUGAGUAUUUCUUCACCCCCCCUGGGGCCUCUAGGGCAACAACUUGUGCGAAUGACACCAGUCCUCGCGACGGUGCCAUUAACCCUCUGAACGCUCUAUUGCAGUUGUCUCUAUAGCUUGAUGUCACGGAUUGGAGGACGCCAAAGUACUGUAUAUUUUGCUUGAUGAAUGAUCUAGAUUGAUUGUUUUUAUUGCUAUAGGAACACGGAAUUGAUACAUGUAGUAAUAUGACAAAGAUGUAUCAUCACAAUAUUGAUCUGGAUACCGCUUCUGCAUUAAACUGAUUUUCACAUAUAUUCUACGAGCUAUGUUCCAUCUCAUAGGACUAAUUUGUUUUGUGCCAAAUCAUGCAAUGACAAUGCAUUAGAACCAUAUACUCUCUUUUAGGGCAUUCCCCUGCACAUAAUCUCUCUAUGCAGUUAGGCAACUGAUAUUGCCAUUAUUCUGGUACAUCUGCACUAUUGGCAUAGAAGAACAUGUUCAUUGGUUUGAAUUGAUUACCCUCAUGGCUAGUAUUAUAUAUUCUAAGUAUUCAGUUGCCUGCAAAAUAAUUAUGUAACAGAUAUCUAUUCCAGGUUGUCGUAUAAUUUACACCUAAAUUGGGAACAGAAAAUAGUUUCUUCACUUAUUUCAAGUAUUAAAUUCUUUUAGACUUUUCUUAGUUUUGGCUUUAAUCUUCAUGCCAUAUUAUUUACUGAACCGGUGAUAAAUUAUUAGCAUGACAACAUGAUCUCUAUUUAAACUAGACCAAGAAUUUUUCGUAACUCAAUUUGUUGUUGUUUUCUCUUUGGAGGACUUUGUAUCUAAUUGUGCCCCUUUUGUUCUAUUAUGACAACCCAUCUAUCAUUUGCUGCUGAUUCCUGCCUUGUUUACUUACAAGUACUCGUUUUUGUGUCAUGUAUGGUAUGAGGACAACUAUGCAAAAUUGCUAAUAGGAUUGAUGAGGCAUGUUAUCUUUUGUAUUUUUCUUAUGAACAUACCUACUGAAGCAUCUUAAUCCCUCCUCCUUUUAGUUUUUAGUUGUUAUCAUUCAGUGUCUAUAGUUUUGCAUAACUAAUAGACUUGCAAAUCGACCUAUUAUGUACGUGAUGUUGGCAGUAGAGCAAUAAGUUUGCUUCUGUGCAAGUAAAACAUUAUAGUUCAUGUGUUGUCUUCGCCUUACAUUCAUGUGCCAUGGUUGGCAUUGGUUUCAAACAUGUAGAUUUUCAAAUUACUUCCUCUUCAUAUAUGAUGUCCAUACCAGAUAACCAUAGGCACCUUCGACCGUGGCCCCAAGCGCGCCCACUGCAUUCAGGCUUUCGGUAGUAUCAUUGUACAACAUAUAUGUAGCUAAAGUAUGAGGCAAGCCUGGGCCCUGGCCCAAUGUUGCCUCCACCCCUGGUUCCAUUGUCAAUUAUGGGGACAUGAUGAUAACCUGGUGUUGAUCUCUCUCAGAGAUGCAACAACAACAAAAAGAAAGCCUUUAAUCUUUUGGGUUUCAUCUCCAUAAGAGUGGAUGGAUUUUUACGUUGGCUCGUCAAGCCUAUCACAACUCUCCUCCUUUA